rnacentral:rRNA from 1 species
UACGUAGGUGGCAAGCGUUAUCCGGAAUUAUUGGGCGUAAAGAGUGAGCAGGCGGCAUGGUAAGUUUGAAGUGAAAGCGUGGGGCUUAACCCCAUACAGCUUCGAAAACUGCCAGGCUAGAGUACGGGAGAGGUAAACGGAACUCCAUGUGUAGCGGUGAAAUGCGUAGAUAUAUGGAAGAACACCAGCGGCGAAGGCGGUUUACUAGCCCGAUACUGACGCUCAGUCACGAAAGCGUGGGGAGC